CCCUUAGAUGUCCUGGGCCGCACGCGCGCUACACUGACAUGUUCAACGAGCCUCCUAGUUCGACAGGAUUUGGGAAAUCUUUGAACGCAUGUCGUGAUAGGGAUAGAUCAUUGCAAUUAUUGAUCUUGAACGAGGAAUUCCUAGUAAACGCGAGUCAUCAGCUCGCAUUGAUUACGUCCCUGCCCUUUGUACACACCGCCCGUCGCACCUACCGAUUGAAUGUUUCGGUGAAGAUUCCGGAUAGGACUUUUUUGAUUUAUUUCAAUUCUGUCUUAAAAGCUAUCUAAACCUCAACAUUUAGAGGAAGGUGAAGUCGUAACA
rnacentral:rRNA from 1 species